ensembl:lncRNA
CAACACUUUUUAAACUUUCGUUGCCGGAGAGAGAAUGACAUAAGAAAGUAAUCAAGACGACUAGCUUGAUUAAGCCUCCGCCAUGUAUAUCUCACUAGGUCAGGGUAUUAAACCUCCUCCAUGUAUAUCUCACUAGGUCAGGGUAUUAAACCUCCAUGUAUAUCUCACUAGGUCAGGGUAUUAAACCUCCUCCAUGUAUAUCUCACUAGGUCAGGAUAUUAAACCUCCAUGUAUAUCUCACUAGGUCAGGGUAUUAAACCUCCAUGUAUAUCUCACUAGGUCAGGGUAUUAAACCUCCUCCAU